GAUGAACGCUGGCGGCGUGCCUAAUACAUGCAAGUCGAGCGAACGGACGAGAAGCUUGCUUCUCUGAUGCUAGCGGCGGACGGGUGAGUAACACGUGGAUAACCUACCUAUAAGACUGGGAUAACUUCGGGAAACCGGAGCUAAUACCGGAUGAUAUUUUGAACCGCAUGGUUCAAAAGUGAAAGACGGUCUUGCUGUCACUUAUAGAUGGAUCCGCGCUGCAUUAGCUAGUUGGUGAGGUAACGGCUUACCAAGGCAACGAUGCAUAGCCGACCUGAGAGGGUGAUCGGCCACACUGGAACUGAGACACGGUCCAGACUCCUACGGGAGGCAGCAGUAGGGAAUCUUCCGCAAUGGGCGAAAGCCUGACGGAGCAACGCCGCGUGAGUGAUGAAGGUCUUCGGAUCGUAAAACUCUGUUAUUAGGGAAGAACAUAUGUGUAAGUAACUGUGCACAUCUUGACGGUACCUAAUCAGAAAGCCACGGCUAACUACGUG
rnacentral:rRNA from 1 species